UGAUGCAGCGACGCCGCGUGAGGGAUGACGGCCUUCGGGUUGUAAACCUCUUUCAGCAGGGAAGAAGCGAAAGUGACGGUACCUGCAGAAGAAGCACCGGCUAACUACGUGCCAGCAGCCGCGGUAAUACGUAGGGUGCGAGCGUUGUCCGGAAUUAUUGGGCGUAAAGAGCUUGUAGGUGGUUUGUCGCGUCUGCUGUGAAAAUCCGGGGCUCAACCCCGGACUUGCAGUGGGUACGGGCAGACUAGAGUGUGGUAGGGGAGACUGGAAUUCCUGGUGUAGCGGUGAAAUGCGCAGAUAUCAGGAGGAACACCGAUGGCGAAGGCAGGUCUCUGGGCCAUAACUGACACUGAGAAGCGAAAGCGUGGGGAGCGAACAGGAUUAGAUACCCUGGUAGUCCACGCCGUAAACGUUGGGAACUAGGUGUGGGUCUCAUUCCACGAGAUCCGUGCCGCAGCUAACGCAUUAAGUUCCCC
rnacentral:rRNA from 1 species